rnacentral:lncRNA from 1 species
UAAGGGUGCACCAAGCGUUCCCCGGCGUCCUACGAAAAAUUCAUUUGGCAGUAGUGCUUGGGAUCGGCUAUGUUCCAGUUGUGCAAUUUCUGUGAGGGGACGUUUCUUGAUGCUCGGUAAUGCUGCUUUUAUUUCCAGCUACCUAAUUUACUCGGUUUCCGCCGAUACCAUCAAUGGCAAAGGUUGCGGCCAGUUCGACCAGAGAGAGAGGGAGUCGCCUGGGAUGAACCUGGAUAGGUUUUAUCAACCCUGGAUGGUG